rnacentral:rRNA from 1 species
GAGACAGUUCGGUCCCUAUCCGUCGCGGGCGUUGGAAAUUUGRGAGGAGCUGUCCUUAGUACGAGAGGACCGGGAUGGACUUACCGCUGGUGUACCAGUUGUUCUGCCAAGGGCAUUGCUGGGUAGCUAUGUAGGGAAGGGAUAAACGCUGAAAGCAUCUAAGUGUGAAGCCCACCUCAAGAUGAGAUUUCCCAUUUCUUUAAGAAAGUAAGAUUCCUGAGAGAUGAUCAGGUAGAUAGGUCAGGAGUGGAAGUACAGUGAUGUAUGGAGCGGACUGAUACUAAUCGAUCGAGGACUUAACCAAU